rnacentral:rRNA from 1 species
UACGAAGGGGGCUAGCGUUGUUCGGAAUCACUGGGCGUAAAGCGCACGUAGGCGGAUCUUUAAGUCAGGGGUGAAAUCCCGGGGCUCAACCUCGGAACUGCCUUUGAUACUGGGGAUCUCGAGUCCGGGAGAGGUGAGUGGAACUGCGAGUGUAGAGGUGAAAUUCGUAGAUAUUCGCAAGAACACCAGUGGCGAAGGCGGCUCACUGGCCCGGAACUGACGCUGAGGUGCGAAAGCGUGGGGAGCAAACAGG